AUUGAACGCUGGCGGCAUGCCUUACACAUGCAAGUCGAACGGUAACAGGUCUUCGGAUGCUGACGAGUGGCGAACGGGUGAGUAAUACAUCGGAACGUGCCCGAUCGUGGGGGAUAACGAGGCGAAAGCUUUGCUAAUACCGCAUACGAUCUACGGAUGAAAGCGGGGGAUCUUCGGACCUCGCGCGGACGGAGCGGCCGAUGGCAGAUUAGGUAGUUGGUGGGGUAAAAGCUUACCAAGCCGACGAUCUGUAGCUGGUCUGAGAGGACGAUCAGCCACACUGGGACUGAGACACGGCCCAGACUCCUACGGGAGGCAGCAGUGGGGAAUUUUGGACAAUGGGCGAAAGCCUGAUCCAGCCAUGCCGCGUGCAGGAUGAAGGCCUUCGGGUUGUAAACUGCUUUUGUACGGAACGAAAAGCCUCUUUCUAAUAAAGAGGGGUCAUGACGGUACCGUAAGAAUAAGCACCGGCUAACUACGUG
rnacentral:rRNA from 1 species